rnacentral:rRNA from 1 species
GGUGUAUAGUUAAUAGCAUUACACUGUGACGUUAGCUACAGAAGAAGCACCGGCAAACUCCGUGCCAGCAGCCGCGGUAAUACGGAGGGUGCGAGCGUUAAUCGGAAUUACUGGGCGUAAAGCGCGCGUAGGCGGUUAUUUAAGUGAGGUGUGAAAUCCCUGGGCUCAACCUAGGAACUGCAUUUCAAACUGGAUAACUUGAGUAUGUCAGAGGGUAUUGGAAUUUCCCGUGUAGCAGUGAAAUGCGUAGAUAUGGGAAGGAACAUCAGUGGCGAAGGCGAAUACCUGGGAUAAUACUGACGCUGAGGUGCGAAAGCGUGGGGAGCAAACGGGAUUAGAUACCCUGGUAG